CCGUGUUGCUACCAAUAUUUCUUCUUUCUAUAGCUCAACUUUCUUUAUAAGGGGCUUUGAAUUUUCUUGAAUAAAAUGCCUCCUUAAUAGGUUAGUUGAAAAAUUUCUUAAUCCUGAGUUUGCCAUUUAUUGCCUAAGUCUGAUGUUGUUGUCGUGUAUUGUGUCUAUGACAACCCUGCUUUUAAGUAAUCUACUUUUAUUCUUAAUGCUAUCUUCGUGUUUACAAUUACAACAUGAAUAUACUAAAUGAGGAGGAGGAAGAGGAGGUGAAGAUACUAAAAUGGUUAUAAGAGACUCUUCUGUUGAAAACCAAGAUAGGACGAGGUUUCGAGGAAUAGUCUUCUUGAAACCGGUG
rnacentral:lncRNA from 1 species